rnacentral:rRNA from 1 species
GUCCUUGCCGUAAACGAUGUAUACUUGGUGUAGCCGGAAUCAACCCUGGCUGUGCCGGAGCUAACGCGUUAAGUAUACCGCCUGGGGAGUACAGUCGCAAGGCUGAAACUCAAAAGAAUUGACGGGGACCCGCACAAGCAGUGGAGCAUGUGGUUUAAUUCGAUGCAACGCGAAGAACCUUACCCAGGCUUGACAUGCAGUAGACCGCACUAGAGAUAGUGCUUUCCUUCGGGACUGCUGCACAGGUGCUGCAUGGCUGUCGU